GAUGAACGCUGGCGGCGUGCUUAACACAUGCCAGUCGAACGAAGCACUUUAUUUGAUUUCCUUCGGGACUGAUUAUUUUGUGACUGAGUGGCGGACGGGUGAGUAACGCGUGGGUAACCUGCCUUGUACAGGGGGAUAACAGUUGGAAACGGCUGCUAAUACCGCAUAAGCGCACAGCAUCGCAUGAUGCAGUGUGAAAAACUCCGGUGGUAUAAGAUGGACCCGCGUUGGAUUAGCUAGUUGGUGAGGUAACGGCCCACCAAGGCGACGAUCCAUAGCCGACCUGAGAGGGUGACCGGCCACAUUGGGACUGAGACACGGCCCAAACUCCUACGGGAGGCAGCAGUGGGGAAUAUUGCACAAUGGGCGAAAGCCUGAUGCAGCGACGUCGCGUGAGCGAAGAAGUAUUUCGGUAUGUAAAGCUCUAUCAGCAGGGAAGAUAAUGACGGUACCUGACUAAGAAGCACCGGCUAAAUACGUG
rnacentral:rRNA from 1 species